rnacentral:rRNA from 1 species
AGAGUUUGAUCCUGGCUCAGGACGAACGCUGGCGGCGUGCUUAACACAUGCAAGUCGAACGAUGAAGUUCCUUCGGGAAUGGAUUAGUGGCGAACGGGUGAGGAACACGUGAGAAACCUGCCUUUCAUUUUGGGAUAACUCCGGGAAACCGGGGCUAAAACCGAAUACUCCGUCUCGGCGGCAUCGCUGAGCCGGGAAAAAAUUUGAUGAAAGAUGGUCUCGCGGCCUAUCAGCUAGUUGGUGAGGUAAUGGCUCACCAAGGCGACGACGGGUAGCCGGCCUGAGAGGGCGACCGGCCACACUGGGACUGAGACACGGCCCAGACUCCUACGGGAGGCAGCAGUGGGGAAUAUUGGGCAAUGGGCGCAAGCCUGACCCAGCGACGCCGCGUGAGGGAUGAAGGCCUUCGGGUUGUAAACCUCUUUCAGUAGGGAAGAAGCGAAAGUGACGGUACCUAAAGAAGAAGCACCGGCUAACUAUGUGCCAGCAGCCGCGGUAAUACAUAGGGUGCAAGCGUUGUCCGGAAUUAUUGGGCGUAAAGAGCUCGUAGGUCGUUUGUCGCGUCGAUUGUGAAAAUCUGAGGCUCAACCUCAGGCCUGCAUUCGAUACGGGCAAACUAGAGUUUGGUAGGGGAGACUGGAAUUCCUGGUGUAGCGGUGGAAUGCGCAGAUAUCAGGAGGAACACCAAUGGCGAAGGCAGGUCUCUGGGCCAAUACUGACACUGAGGAGCGAAAGUCUGGGGAGCGAACAGGAUUAGAUACCCUGGUAGUCCAGACCGUAAACGGUGGGCACUAGUUGUGGGAACCUUCCACGGUUUCUGCGACGCAGCUAACGCAUUAAGUGCCCCGCCUGGGGAGUACGAUCGCAGAUUAAAACUCAAAGGAAUUGACGG